UUGGAGCAGAGUUCGCCACGAGAAAGAACACUCGAAAACCGUAGACAUUGAACAGCCACCACAUUGAAGAAUCCUUAAAUAAAUUUUACUUUAUUCCAUGUUAGUCAACACAAGCGAUUGGGGAACGGCAAAAGUUACGGUUCCACUGAAACGUUUUGAAAGCUUUUCAACCACUUCCAUGCUGAGAAUGUCGAGAAGAAACACGUAGCCAAGCAAAGCAAUUACCUGAGAGGCAAUUGAAAAUCAGCAUAAUAAUGAGAUGAGAAGACCAUGUAGCAUGGUUAAGCAACUUUGCUGUAUAUGGCGUAGCUCUGAUGCCAGAAGAUUUUUGAUUGGCUGUGAUAUACAUGGGGAAUAUUGCCACGUUGAUUGCAUAGAUAUUAUUGAGAAGAGCUCCUGCGUCAUUUAUUAGUUUUUCUAUUCAACAGGGAUCUGAGCUUCAUGAAAAAACUGGAACAGUUAAGGAAGGAAGAGUUAAGAAAAAAAGAAGUGGACACCAAAAUACCCCAACUGUGCUAAAUCAUUGUUUGUUAUCGUGUAGAAAACUACAAGUGUGAUGCUUGUCGAGGAAGAGAUGUCAACAGUACAACCUGCGCAGAGUAUCUCUGACAUUUGCCUACAAGGUAUCUUUUUCUAUUAAGUUUUAUCUUGUCUAAUUUUCUUUGGUUGUUUACUGUAUCAUGUAGCAGAAAAAGAUGGAGACAGUAGCGGAAGAAGAGGAAAUUUUUUAAAAACUCCUAAAGAAUGAUGCAGACUGUUUUGACGAUGAUAAUUGUACCCGAACAUGUGAAAGAAAAACCCGUUGUCCCGGUUCCCAAGCCAUCUCAACAUACGGCAACAAAAGAAGAGACUAGGAAAAGGCUAAAGGAAGCCAUCGUUCCUCUGCUAUUUCGGGGGACCACUGUCGCUAGAAGAAUCACCCCGUCUAUAGAUUCGGGAGGUAAAAGCGCAAUAAAAAAAUCUCCAACACAGUAAGCAGAAGGUCGUUCAUUGUUAUGAACCACAAUAAAUGUGUCAGGAAAUAAAUACUGCAGUGAAUAAUGCUGGCUAAAAUUGGCGUCAUCUUGUGUAUAUACCAGAUUUCGUCGUCAAAAACUCAAUAAGAACUGGAUAUAACUUCAGCAAAGGCUAAAACAUUUACCGUUGACAUUUACUAUGACGACGAAGCGUGUGAACGAGGCGAUAACGAAAAGGAAUCGGCCACUGUGUGGUACGUACAUCAUUUGCGGCAUCGGUAUUACGGCCAGCAAUGCGAUCCCACACAUGAAGCAAUGUUGCAACAAAUACGAAAGCCAAACAUUUCGGCACGUUCUAUUGACCUAAAUAGAAGGCAAGAACAUGUUUGAGUUUUACAAUACCAGUAAUCGAAUAUACUCCAUGCGAAUUCGUGGUUUUUGUUAAGAGCAUUGCAAAGAUCCUAUGGUCAGCAAGACUGAUGUAUGCAGCUAUUCUUCAGUACAGGAAGUUGUUGAAGAAACUGGAGAAAUCUGUCCUAUUCAAAAAAAAUAAGUCUCCAACGUAACAACUGGGAGAGUAAAAAUUUGUAUGAAAGGUGGCUUAAAAUUGAUGAGUAUUCGAAAAAAAAAAGCAACAAACAUUUUGUUCCUGACGUUUUUUGUCCGCACAUUCUAUUUCUCAUGCUUUUUUAUUAUUUUAUUCGUCUACCAAUUGAUUCUCUGGUGUCACCUGCCCAUUUAGUUUGUCUCGCUCUAUGUUUAACGCUUAAAAAUAGAAUUAACGACUUCGCAUUAAUGCAGUUCUCGAAUCAGCAAAAUUUUUCGAAUUCAGUUAUUUUUGGUAUAAUUGAAAAAACAAGAUGGCGCUGAUACGCCGCUAUGUUGGUUUUUUGAUUCGGCUACGUGUGA